rnacentral:rRNA from 1 species
UACGUAGGGUGCGAGCGUUGCCCGGAUUUAUUGGGCGUAAAGGGCGCGUAGGCGGCUCGGCACGUCCGUUGUGAAAUCGCCCGGCUCAACUGGGCGGGGUCAGCGGAUACGGUCGAGCUUGAGCAAGCUAGGGGGCAAUGGAAUUCCCGGUGUAGUGGUGGAAUGCGUAGAUAUCAGGAAGAACACCCGUGGCGAAGGCGGCUCUCUGGAACGCAACUGACGCUGAGACGCGAAAGCGUGGGGAGCAAACAGG